rnacentral:rRNA from 1 species
UACGUAGGGAGCAAGCGUUGUCCGGAAUCAUUGGGCGUAAAGCGCGCGUAGGCGGCCCGAUAAGUCCGCUGUAAAAGUCAACGGCUCAACUGUUGAAAGCCGGUGGAUACUGUCGGGCUAGAGUACGGAAGAGGCAAGUGGAAUUCCUGGUGUAGCGGUGAAAUGCGUAGAUAUCUGGAGGAAUACCGGUGGCGAAGGCGGCAUCCUGGACCGGCAUUGACGCUGAUGAGCGAAAGCUAGGGGAGCAAACGGG